GAACGCUAGCGGCAGGCUUAACACAUGCAAGUCGAGGGGCAGCGGGGAGGAAGCUUGCUUUCUCCGCCGGCGACCGGCGCACGGGUGAGUAACACGUAUGCAACCUGCCCCUGUCAGGGGGACAACCCGCCGAAAGGCGGGCUAAACCCGCGUACAUGCCACCGGGGCAUCCCGGAGGCAGGAAAGGCUUCGGCCGGACAGGGAUGGGCAUGCGGCGCAUUAGGCAGUAGGCGGGGUAACGGCCCACCUAACCGACGAUGCGUAGGAGUUCUGAGAGGAAGGUCCCCCACACUGGUACUGAGACACGGACCAGACUCCUACGGGAGGCAGCAGUGAGGAAUAUUGGUCAAUGGUCGGGAGACUGAACCAGCCAAGCCGCGUGAGGGAUGAAGGUACAGAGUAUCGUAAACCUCUUUUGUCAGGGAACAAAGGCGGGGACGUGUCCCCGGAUGAGUGUACCUGAAGAAAAAGCAUCGGCUAACUCCGUGCCAGCAGCCGCGGUAAUACGGAGGAUGCGAGCGUUAUCCAGAUUUAUUGGGUUUAAAGGGUGCGCAGGCGGUCUGUUAAGUCAGCGGUCAAAGCCCGGGGCUCAACCCCGGCCCGCCGUUGAAACUGGCAGUCUCGAGUUGGAGAGAAGUAUGCGGAAUGCGCGGUGUAGCGGUGAAAUGCAUAGAUAUCGCGCAGAACUCCGAUUGCGAAGGCAGCAUGCCGGCUCCACACUGACGCUGAGGCACGAAAGCGUGGGUAUCGAACAGGAUUAGAUACCCUGGUAGUCCACGCAGUGAACGAUGAAUGCUGGCUGUCCGGGGGGGAUUGACCCCUGGGUGGCGAAGCGAAAGCGAUAAGCAUUCCACCUGGGGAGUACGCCGGCAACGGUGAAACUCAAAGGAAUUGACGGGGGCCCGCACAAGCGGAGGAACAUGUGGUUUAAUUCGAUGAUACGCGAGGAACCUUACCCGGGCUCAAACGGGGAGUGACUCAGGCAGAGACGCCUGUUUCCCACGGGACACUCCCCGAGGUGCUGCAUGGUUGUCGUCAGCUCGUGCCGUGAGGUGUCGGCUUAAGUGCCAUAACGAGCGCAACCCCCGCGUGCAGUUGCUAACAGAUAACGCUGAGGACUCUGCACGGACUGCCGGCGCAAGCCGCGAGGAAGGCGGGGAUGACGUCAAAUCAGCACGGCCCUUACGUCCGGGGCGACACACGUGUUACAAUGGGUGGUACAGCGGGAAGCCAGGCGGCGACGCCGAGCGGAACCCGAAAUCCACUCUCAGUUCGGAUCGGAGUCUGCAACCCGACUCCGUGAAGCUGGAUUCGCUAGUAAUCGCGCAUCAGCCAUGGCGCGGUGAAUACGUUCCCGGGCCUUGUACACACCGCCCGUCAAGCCAUGGGAGCCGAGGGCGCUUGAAGUGCGUCGCCGCGAGGCGCGCCCUAGAGCGAAAUCGGUGACU
rnacentral:rRNA from 1 species